rnacentral:rRNA from 1 species
UGGGGAAUAUUGCACAAUGGGGGAAACCCUGAUGCAGCAAUGCCGCGUGAAGGAUGAAGGUUUUCGGAUUGUAAACUUCUUUAGUCAGGGACGAAUAAAUGACGGUACCUGAAGAAUAAGCCACGGCUAACUACGUGCCAGCAGCCGCGGUAAUACGUAGGUGGCGAGCGUUGUCCGGAAUUACUGGGUGUAAAGGGCGUGUAGGCGGGAAUGUAAGUCAGAUGUGAAAUCCCAGGGCUCAACCCUGGAGCUGCAUCUGAAACUAUGUUUCUUGAGUGCCGGAGAGGAUAGCGGAAUUCCUAGUGUAGCGGUGAAAUGCGUAGAUAUUAGGAGGAACACCAGUGGCGAAGGCGGCUAUCUGGACGGUAACUGACGCUGAGGCGCGAAAGCGUGGGGAGCAAACA